GAGUAUUUAGCUCAGUUGGCAGAGCAUUGGCCUGAAGUGCCGGUUGUCCCGGGUUCGAUCCCCGGAAAAAGCA
rnacentral:tRNA from 1 species